UGCAUAACAAGAAGAAGGGGGCAGAGGUGGGGUGGGGAGGGAGAAAGUGGUGGUGUGACAUUUUCCAUCAGCUGAGGAUCUCAAUUUCUUACUUGUUCUUUGCCAAAGCAGGAAUCCCAGGCCACAAUAUUUAAUGUCUCUCUUCAGUACAAUGGCAUACUUCUCAAGAAGUCUGCAUUAAUUUUACUGCUUUUGCUAUGUUCAGCCACACCAUCCCCAAGGGUAGGUUAUCUGUUAACCCAAGUACCCUCUGUGCCUCUCCCCCAAACACUGUAUAAUUAAUCAUCCUGAAAGGUGGCAAAGAGGUAAACAACCAAUUUUUGUGUUGCAGAUGCUGCUGCUUUGUCAAAUAAUUGGUGCAAAGACACAUUAACUGUACAAGGGAGAUUCAUAUGUUUGUUCAUUCAUUCAUUCCACUAAGCUGUCCAUUAUUGGUUGUCCAGUAAGCUAUUUUAAGUAGACCACAUUUCAUUCACACCUAUAGAUGGAACUGCUUCAGAGCAUAGGAAGAGCCUUUGGGUAGUUUUCAUGGUGGUCCAAGAAAGAAGGGAUACCUCUGUUGAAGGAUCAUCUUUGCUCUCAUCUCAAGGAAUCUGCCGAUGAUUGUUGCUGGAGACAGAAGACUGUGAGUUGCUUCCCCAGGCCCUGUACAUGAGUGGUGGAUGGCAGACCCAUAGCCCAGACCUUCAGCCAUGCCAUUUCAGAGCUGCAGACACUGCACCCAAGUCAGCACCUUGGGCACUGAGAACAGGCUUCAACAAAGUACAAGGAUGGUGGGAAAAAUAUAAGCCACUGGGUACUGAAUGCUUUUUCAAAAUCUAAUAAUGAGCAUUACCAUAGCUAAAGUUAUACAGCCACUGUUCUGCCCGAAUUUUCUCUUUUUGAUAUGUCUUUUGUUACCACUUACAUCUGAGAAUACCCUGACAUAGAUUGCAGGGAAACAGAUUUCUGUUUCUUUUUCUAUUGACAUCAUUUGUUACUUUUUCUUGAUCCUAUGAAUUACAUCAGUUAGUAAUCAGCUUCCAAGCAACCACUUGUGAGAGUUUCUCAUGAAGCAGAAUAGAAAAAUAUUUUACCGUUUUUAUUGGUCUCACUUCAUAUAACUCUAGCUGUUUCAGAAUUAGAAAUGGACAGAGAGAGAGAGAGA